AGAGUUUGAUUCUAGCUCAGGGUGAACGCUGGCGGCGUGCCUAAGGCAUGCAAGUCGAACGAUUAAGUUGAGUCCGCAAGGAUUUGACCUGAUAGUGGCAAACGGGUGCGUAACACAUUGGUAACCUGCCUUGAAGACGGGCAUAACCUUUCGAAAGAGAGGCUAAUUCCCGAUGGACACGAGGGGACGCAAGUCAUUCUCGUGUAAAAGUCCAAAAGACGCUUCAAGAGGGGCCUAUGGUCUAUCAGCUAGUUGGUGGGGUAACGGCUCACCAAGGCUAUGACGGAUAGCGGGUUUGAGAGAACGGCCCGCCUCAGUGGAACUGCGACACUGUCCACACUCCUACGGGAGGCUGCAGUCAGGAAUAUUGGGCAAUGGGCGAAAGCCUGACCCAGCGACGCCGCGUGUAGGAUGACGCCCUUCGGGGUGUAAACUACUUUUGCCGCCGAAUAAGCCGCAAGGCUGAAUGUAGGCGGAGAAUAAGAGGUUGCUAACUCUGUGCCAGCAGCAGCGGUAAUACAGAGACCUCAAGCGUUACCCGGAUUUACUGGGCUUAAAGCGUCCGCAGGUGGUUCGACACAUCUUCUGUUAAAUCCAUGCGCUUAACGUAUGGGCCGCAGAAGAGAUGGUCGAGCUCGAGCACGGGAGAGGCAAGUGGAACUACCGGUGUAGGGGUAAAAUCCGUUCAUAUCGGUAGGAACACCAAAGGCGAAGGCAGCUUGCUAGAACGUUGCUGACACUCAUGGACGAAAGCGUGGGGAGAAAAAAGGAUUAGAUACCCUUGUAUUCCACGCCCUAAACGAUGAGCACUAGCUAUUGGGAGUAUCGACCCUCUCAGUGGCGUCUCAAUAAGGGAAACCGUUAAGUGCUCCGCCUGGGAAGUACGAUCGCAAGAUUAAAACUCAAAGAAAUAGACGGGGACCCGCACAAGCGGUGGAUCAUGUGGUUCAAUUCGACACUGAGCGAGAAACCUCACCAAGGCUUGAAAUCCAAGUGAAAAUCCUAAGAAACUAGGAUCCUCGCAAGACACUUGGACAGGUGCU
rnacentral:rRNA from 1 species